rnacentral:tRNA from 1 species
GGAGAGGUGCCGGAGUGGUCGAACGGGGCGGUCUCGAAAACCGUUGUCCCUUAACGAGGGACCCAGGGUUCGAAUCCCUGUCUCUCCGCCA